AUUGAACGCUGGCGGCAGGCCCAACACAUGCAAGUCGAGCGGAUGAAGGGAGCUUGCUCCUGGAUUCAGCGGCGGACGGGUGAGUAAUGCCUAGGAAUCUGCCUGGUAGUGGGGGAUAACGUCCGGAAACGGGCGCUAAUACCGCAUACGUCCUGAGGGAGAAAGUGGGGGAUCUUCGGACCUCACGCUAUCAGAUGAGCCUAGGUCGGAUUAGCUAGUUGGUGGGGUAAAGGCCUACCAAGGCGACGAUCCGUAACUGGUCUGAGAGGAUGAUCAGUCACACUGGAACUGAGACACGGUCCAGACUCCUACGGGAGGCAGCAGUGGGGAAUAUUGGACAAUGGGCGAAAGCCUGAUCCAGCCAUGCCGCGUGUGUGAAGAAGGUCUUCGGAUUGUAAAGCACUUUAAGUUGGGAGGAAGGGCAGUAAGUUAAUACCUUGCUGUUUUGACGUUACCAACAGAAUAAGCACCGGCUAACUUCGUGC
rnacentral:rRNA from 1 species